CGGAAGUUCAGGAACCGGUGAAACCCUGUCUCUACUAAGAAUACAAAAAAAAAAAUUAGCCGGAGGUGGUUGAGGGCUCCUGUAGUCCCAGCUACUCGGGAGGCUGAGGCAGAAGAAUCGCUUGAACCCCGGGAGGCGGAGGUUACAAUCUGUUUCUUAGAAGUGGACACGUGAACUCUUACACAGAUCAAGAGGAGCAGCUCUGUAAAUAUUUCCCUGAGUUUUUUCAGCCUGCGCCCAGAAAUGAACAAGGACAGCUUGGAGGUUAGAGGCAAGAUGGAGUCGUUUAAGUUGGACCUCUUUCACUGUCUCAGUCAUAAUUUUGCAAAGGCGGUUUCAGUUGCAGACAAAAGGAUCCGCAGGCUCCAGUGACUGUCUGCAUGGCGGGAGAAAACACAAGAAACCUCUUUCCAAGUCUUCAGGUGCCCAGUCGCUAUCCACAGCUCGGUUCAGGCAUCAUCACUCCCUGGAAAACUUGGCUCUUAAUUCGGGUGCCGACCAAGUCCUCCGGGGUCCGCAAAGGCUGGCAUCCCACCACCAACGCGCGUGACUAGGGUCUUCUGUUUUGCGCGUCUUCCAGUUCCACUGAGGGCCGAGACUUUGUCUUUGCGGCCCCAGUACUUGCUUAGUUCCGAGAGUGCGGUUUGCACUCAGUAAGUAGCCACUUACUGAGUCCAAUCGAUUAUUGGAAACCUAAUUUUUCAUCACUGCUUCUCCCACAAGAAGCUCUAGGACUGACUCCUCAAAGACCAAAACUGGAAUUAGCAAUCCCGCUGUUUACCCGGAGGCCCGGUCAAAUGUCUUAAAUCUGGGAGGAUUCCUCCUGGGAAAUUCCAGUAAGGGCGCGGAGCAGGUCAGGAAGGAGGUUACUUUUUGGGUCUUUAUCGUCUAUGAUGGGAGAAAAGGAGAAAUGAAGACUCGAUUUUGCUGAACGCCUGCUCAUUGUCAAUUUUGCCGGUUCAUCUCUCAAGAAAUCAGCAAAAAGACUCAGAAUUGUAAUCGCGAAGGGAAAGAAUGCGGCCACGUGGCCUAUUUUCCUGUGGAUAGACUAAGCAAACGCUUUUCUUCAGGGGCCCGGAUAGCUCAGUCGGUAGAGCAUCAGACUUUUAAUCUGAGGGUCCGGGGUUCAAGUCCCUGUUCGGGCGGAUGCUGUUUUAGUUUCCAAUAAAAUGGAUUUGGGCGAGGCUGAGAGAAAGGAACGUUAUGUGAAACCCGCUUGGGGUGCCUCCUCCUUGAGGGAAACCAGAACUUGCUAGUGGGUUCUUACCGGAAGAAGUGAAACGUGUGGAAAAUGCCAAGAAACUUUAUCUUCCAAUAGCAGGCUUUUCUUUUCCAACCUUUAUACGUUGCUUUGUCUUAGGAUAUUUUUUCUUUUAAAUUGUAUUUUAUAUUCAAAACAGAUCAAUAAACACAUCGUCAGAGUCACAAUUAGUAAUAUUCUUGGCAAGAAUUGUGCAGCUUUUGGCACCGAGGAAUGUUUUCAGGCACUUUUUAUUAAAAGUGCGAUGAGGAAACUGAGACUCAAGAAAUAUUUCAGAUGAAGACACGUAAAGACGCAAGAUUCCUACAUCUCCAACUGGACGCAGUCCUUCACCAGAUUCUUAAUGCUCUGGUGGGCCCCUGACUUGUGUCUCUUGCGGUAAAGACUAAUGCUUUUGAACACUGUCCUCAUGUCUGUCGUCGAUGAAAAAACGUGCAGCCCCAGAGAGCUGACUAUACUGGUGAUCAAACCCAAGACCUUCCGCCUGUGGAACAGGCGUGUUGGCCACCUCAAUAACAAAUCUUGUGCCACGUAUUGCCAUUUAACAUCCAGUAGUAUAAAUAGGGUGAUUACGGAACUGGGAAGAAAUCAUUCUACGACUUCUGAUUCCUUUGAGAGGCUUAAGUUCAUCAUGCAUCCUCAUAAUGACUUUGACUUCUGAUUUCUCGAGCUUAUUCUUUGCAUCCUUAUAAUACCUUACUAAAUACUUCGUCUCAUUAGUUUCUGCCCGCCUAAGAGACAAGGAGAACAGCCGUCUCUGGGUGUGUAUGGCGUAGGUGCAAACGUGCAAGGGUACUGGGGAGAGAGGCGAGCCUCCAGAGAGGCUAAGAAGUGGACCGUAGCCCUGUCUGUUCAAAGGGGUUGAGCCAACAAAAGGUCUGCCGAAACCCGGGAUCGAACCAGGGACCUUUAGAUCUUCAGUCUAACGCUCUCCCAACUGAGCUAUUUCGGCGAAGACAUGAGACAGUCCCGCCCUGUCAAGGAAAUUUAAAAGAAAAAAAAAAACCGGGCGUGGUGGCUCAUGUCUGUAAUGCCAGCGCUUUGGGAGCCCGAGGCGGGUGGAUUACCUGAACUCGGGAGUUCGAGACCAGCCUGGCCAAUAUGGUGAAACCCCGUCUCUACUAAAAAUACAAAAAAAAUUAGCCGGGCGUGGUAGCGAGCCCCUGUAAUCCCAGCUACUUAGGAGGCUGAGGCGGGAGCAUCGCUUGAACCUGGGAGGCGGAGGUUGCAGUGAGCCGAGAUGGCGCCAUUGCACUCCAGCCUGGGCGACAAGAGCGAAACUCCGUCUCAAAUAAUAAUAAUAACAAUAAUAAUAAUCCUGUUUCCUCCCACUUCCAGGCUUUUAGUUCUUCAUUUCACCUUCCAAACUGUAUUAUUUUUAGCCCUGAGGUUUUAAGAGCAAUCAGUAAGAAAAUUAAUUCCUUUCAUGUGAGGAAACUUUCCCGUUCUGCCUUUUCCCAGGCCACAUUGUGUUGUCUUCCUCAUGCUUUCUCUCUUCCCAGGGCCCUAAUAAGAGUAAGAACCGCCGCUUUCUAAGAACCUACUGUGUGUCCAGCAGGGAUCUACAGCAUUGCAUUCAAUUCCGUCCUCCCCCACGCCUGCCUUUAAUUGAUAUGAUAAUAUACAAAUUUUUUAAUGAAUAACAAAUGUGCCACCAAUCACCUAGAACUAUUAGGGAGGCUCCAAAGCAUCAAAGGCUAAACUAAACACCAUGGCUGGAGAGGGAAUGAACUGGAGGAGGGAAAGGAGGAAAGACUGGGGGGACCCAGAGCUCUCCACCCUUGUCCUCUCGCUCCAGCCUGGUCUGUUCUUGCUCAUUCAGAAACUGGUUGGAGUAAAAAGAUUCCCCUUUUCAAGAUCGCCAAAAGUGGAACUGAUCGCUUUCGAAGGGACUCCUUCAGGAAGAAGGAGAAAAAUUCGAGAAACUUACCUGUUUCUCUCCCUGGAAUGCCUUCUGAACCCUGAGAUUUACUUUCCUCAAUAAAGAAGCUCGCCUCGCCCACCCAGCCCACUCUUCCUAGGAGCAGCGAGGAUCGCUGUCCCUCCAGCACAUACUAGUCAACUCGAGUCAUCUGAAUAUGGGCAUAUUGGGCACAUAUUUCUUUGUAAUGGUUCCUCUCCUAUUACAAUAUGUAUCUGUUGUUUCAUCGUUAGAUUGAAAGCUCUUUAAGAAUUAUGGUAACAGUGUUACAGCUCUUUCAGAAUUUGUUUAGCAGGUUUUCUGGUUUUCACAGGAAAAUAAAAUAAAAACAAUAAUUAUAAUAAUGGCUACCGUGUUUUGAAUGCUUGCUUUUAGGCUAUUAAGCACAG
rnacentral:tRNA from 1 species